UACAGAGGGUGCGAGCGUUGUUCGGAAUUAUUGGGCGUAAAGGGCGCGUAGGCGGUUUGGUAAGUCUUGUGUGAAAUCUCCAGGCUCAACCUGGAGUCUGCACGAGAAACUGCCGGGCUUGAGUGUGGGAGAGGUGAGUGGAAUUCCUGGUGUAGCGGUGAAAUGCGUAUAUAUCAGGAGGAACACCUGUGGCGAAAGCGGCUCACUGGACCACAACUGACGCUGAUGCACGAAAGCUAGGGGAGCAAACAGG
rnacentral:rRNA from 1 species